UACGGAGGGGGUUAGCGUUGUUCGGAAUGACUGGGCGUAAAGCGCGCGUAGGCGGGCUGGAAAGUUGGGGGUGAAAUCCCGGGGCUCAACCCCGGAAUGGCCUUCAAAACUCCCAGCCUAGAGUUCGAGAGAGGUGAGUGGAAUUCCGAGUGUAGAGGUGAAAUUCGUAGAUAUUCGGAAGAACACCAGUGGCGAAAGGCGGCUCACUGGACUGGUAUUGACGCUGAGGUGCGAAAGCGUGGGGAGCAAACAGGGAUUAAGAUACC
rnacentral:rRNA from 1 species